UACCAGCUCUCCGAGUUGUAGGGAUGAUUAUUGGGCUUAAAGCGUCCGUAGCUGGCUUAGCAAGUCUCCUGUUAAAUUCAGCGACCUAAUCGUUGAGCCGCGGGAGAUACUAUUAGGCUAGGAGGCGGGAGAGGUCGACGGUACUUUCGGGGUAGGGGUGAAAUCCUAUAAUCCCGGGAGGACCACCAGUGGCGAAGGCUGUCGACUAGAACGCGCUCGACGGUGAGGGACGAAAGCUGGGGGGAGCGAACCGGAUUAGACACCCGGGUAGUCCCAGCUGUAAACUAUGCGGGCUAGGUGUUGGGGUGGCUACGGGCCACUUCAGUGCCGCAGGAAGCCAUUAAGCCCGCCGCCUGGGAGUACGGCCGCAAGGCUGAAACUUAAAGGAAUUGGCGGGGGAGCACCACAAGGCGUGAAGCUUGCGGUUC
rnacentral:rRNA from 1 species